GGUCAAGCUACAAAGGGCGCAUGGUGGAUGCCUUGGCAUCGAGAGGCGAAGAAGGACGUGAUUACCUGCGAUAAGCCAGGGGGAGCUGGACAUAAGCGUCGAACCCUGGAUUUCCGAAUGGGGCAACCCGGCGGGCAUAAUGGCCCGUCAUCGUGCACUGAAUACAUAGGUGUACGAAGCUAACCCGGAGAAGUGAAACAUCUCAGUACCCGGAGGAAGAGAAAUCAACCGAGACUCCGCUAGUAGUGGCGAGCGAACGCGGACCAGCCCAAACCAGUGGGGUAACUUACUGGGGUUGUGGGCUUCUAAUAUGGACCGUGAAUGACAGCAGAAUGACUUGGGAAAGUCAGCCAAAGAGGGUGAGAGCCCCGUACGCGAAGUCGGAAGCGGCCUAAGAAGUUCCAGAGUAGGGCGGGACACGUGGAACCCCGUCUGAAGCAGGGAGGACCACCUUCCAAGGCUAAGUACUCCUCGAUGACCGAUAGUGAACUAGUACCGUGAGGGAAAGGUGAAAAGAACCCCUGUGAGGGGAGUGAAAAGAAUCUGAAACCGUGCGUCUACAAGCAGUUGAAGUACAUCUAAGUACGACAGCGUGCCUUUUGCAUAAUGAGCCUGCGAGUAGAGGUAUGUGGCAAGGUUAAGCCGAUAGGCGCAGCCGAAGCGAAAGCGAGUCUGAAUAGGGCGUCUAGUCACAUGCUUCUGACCCGAAGCCCGGUGAUCUAUCCAUGUGCAGGUUGAAGCGCGGGUAAGACUGCGUGGAGGACCGAACACACCGAAGUUGAAAAUUCGGGUGAUGACGUGUGGAUAGGAGUGAAAGGCUAAUCAAACCGGGGGAUAGCUGGUUCUCGGCGAAAUAUAUUGAGGUAUAGGGUCAGUUGAUUGCCACCGGGGGUAGAGCACUGGAUGGGCUAGGGGGACUACCAUCUUACCGAACCCAACCAAACUCCGAAUACCGGUGAGUAUAGGCUGGCACUCAGGCUAUGGGAGCUAAGUUUCAUGGCCAAGAGGGAAAGAACCCAGAUCGUCAGCUAAGGCCCCAAAAUCUCUGCUAAGUGGCAAAGGAUGUGGGAGCACACAGACAGCCAGGAGGUUGGCUUAGAAGCAGCCAUCCUUUAAAGAAAGCGUAACAGCUCACUGGUCGAGUGAACCUGCGCCGAAAAUUCAACGGGUCUCAAGCAGAGUGCCGAAGCUACGGGUGUGCAUUUAUGUACGCGGUAGCCGAGUAUUGUGUUCGCGGUGAAGCCAUACGGGAACGGGUGGUGGAGCGUACACAAGCGCUAAUGUAGGCGUGAGUAGCGAUAAACAGAGUGAAAAACUCUGUCGCCGUAAACCCAAGGGUUCCUGGGUUAAGAUAAUCUGCCUAGGGUUAGUCGGCUCCUAAGGCGAGGCCGAAAGGCGUAGUCGAUGGAAAGCAGGCGAAUAUUCCUGCACCAGCACGGACGUUUUCUCAAGGAGGGACGGAGGAGGGUAGCUGAGCCGGUCAUUGGAUUCCGGUUCAAGCUCGUAGGCAGAGACUGUAGGAGGCAAUGGCCACAAACGCAGUCUUAAUGCCGAGAGGUGAUGAGGAGAGUCUUCGGACUCAAAACUCAGUGAUCCCAUGCUUCCAGGAAAAGCUUCGUGAGAGCCAAACGCUGUGCUGACCGUACCGUAAACCGACUCAGGUGGGUGGGAAGAGAAUUCCAAGGCGCUUGGGAGAACUCUGGCUAAGGAACUCGGCAAAUUGAUACCGUAACUUCGGGAGAAGGUAUGCCCCUGCUGGUGAUGAGCUUGCGCUCUGAGCUGGGGGGGGUUGCAGAGAAUCGGGGGUAGCGACUGUUUACCAAAAACACAGGACUCUGCUAAGUCGCAAGACGACGUAUAG
rnacentral:rRNA from 1 species